AGAGGGCCAGAUGCAGUGGCUCAUGCCUGUAAUCCCAGCACUUUGGGAGGCCGAGGUGGGCGGAUCACCUGAGGUCAGCCUGACCAACACGGUGAAGCCCUGUCUCUACUAAUAAUACAAAAAUUAGCUGGGCGUGGUGGCCUGCACCUGUAAUCCCAGCUACUUGGGAGGCUGAGGCGGGAGAAUCGCCAGAACCUGGGAGGCAGAGGUUGCGGUGAGUUGAGAUCACCCCAUUCCACCCCAGCCUGGGCGACAAGAGCGAAACUCCAUCUCCGAAAAAAGAAACCCCAGAGUUCAUGUGAGCGCAGCAUGCGAUGACUGGUCUGGGAAGAACUGGCCAUUCCUUGGGCCUCCUGGCCCCUUGGUGCUGUCUGGCCCAGUGUCCACAGUUCCAGGGCUGUAGUGACAGCUUUUUAUCAUUACAGGUGUAGGUGGAGCUUUUGCUGGAAUCCCAGGAGUUGGACCCUUUGGGGGACCGCAACCUGGAGUCCCACUGGGGUAUCCCAUCAAGGCCCCCAAGCUGCCUGGUGGCUAUGGACUGCCCUACACCACAGGGAAACUGCCCUAUGG
rnacentral:lncRNA from 10 species